CGUAUAAAAAAUAUGAUGGUAAUAUUUUACUUGUUCAUGCAGACGAAAAUGCUUCGAUUGAGGAUGGGUACAGAGCGUAUGUGCAUGCCUUCUCUUACGGUCGAAUAGUUUGUGGAAGCUGUAAAAGAAAUUGUUUUAGCAAUUAGAAGAUGGGUUCCCCCACAAGAGCUCAUGCGAAAGAAUAAGAGGAUGCUUGAUGAAUCCAUCCAAGAUAUCAAGAGGGAAAUACAGGGUUUACAAGCUCAAAAAAAAAACAAAUUGUUGAGAUUAAAAAAAAUGGCAAGGGCAUAUGUGUAUGAACCAACCAGAAGAAGUAAGUAACUCGUCCAAAUUGAAAGCUUAAAUAACAGAAGUGAAAGGGAUAGUGAUGCACAAUAUUGAGAUGGUACAACAGAAGGCAUCGAAAGCUCAAGCCUAAGAGGCUGCUACAAGAGUCGUGAAAGAGACCUUCCCGCAAGCCUCUUGGUUCGCAACCUUCAACGUGAUUGCAGGCCCACUAUUGUUCUUGUAAUUGUUCAACUUUCUACGAGCUGUUUUCUUGUUAUUGAAAUUAGUUUAAAAGCAUUGAUAUCUCCUUCAUAAUUUUUUUGACUUCACUGCCAUGCCUUGGAGAUAUAUCUUCCGCAUUAUAAAUACUCUUUGUUGCAUAAAGCAUUAUUUCCUAUUUUUUUGCAUUUAGUUACUGGUAUUUUAUGUGUAUUGAUUAUGUAUGAGUAUAUGAAGCUAAUCUGUCCACAAAUAUUUUGCAUGCCAUACUGGUUGGAUGUACAAAGUUAUUUCAUUAGACGUGCUUAUUUUGAUUCCGUGUAUAUCCAAUCCCAUGUUCAUAUUAAUGUGUGGUUUUAUAUGUAUCAACUUCUGUGACUAAAAUAUCAAAUAUGUACCUUAGUUCAUGUGCACAAGAAAAUUUCCAGCCCAAGAAGAAUCUCACACCGGCAUAAUGACAUUUAGGAAUAUAUUAUUUAGGGUGAAUUCAGCCAUGAAUUUCAUUUACAAAGCAUAUGUCCAAAUACUAAGAAUUAGUAAUUGCCUAAGAUUUAAGUGAGAAUUUACUGAACUUUCUAAAUAAUUUCAUAAAUAUUCGACACGCUAGCAUUACCUUCAAAAUAAUACAACUUGUGCAUUGCACGGGGCAUAAGACUAGUAUAUAUAUGAGAGGCACUUUGGGUUUCACCAUUCAUUUUUGUAACCUUCCUUUUCACACCUGAAGAGUUCAUCUACUAUUUACUAACUGGUUUUUUACUGUUCAUUAAAUAAUCCCGAGAGAAUGCUACUUUACUGUUCAUCUAUGAGUUUUGCUUCACAUUUCACUGUUCAUUUGAUAAUUCGUGUAUAGACAAAAAAGGGCAACAAUUGUUGACUGAGGAAGUGGGAUAUGACUGUUGGGUAGCUUCUCAAAUACGUUUUCUCGUUCUUUUUCUCACUGUACUGUACAUAUGGGCAAAUAUCUUGCUUGCCUCAGCUGUUCAUUCAGAAGACUUCGUUUUAGACCUCUCCGAUUCUGACUUCGUUUUAGACCUCUCCGAUUCUUACUGUUCAUUAACAAGUUUUGUACUGUUUACUAAAUAUCUCUUUUGUUAGUUCAAUGGUCCACUUGUCUCGCACGUUUAAGCCUUUUACAGUCUCUCCCUUCCCUAUUCUUUUUCUUUUUGCUCUCGUGUUGAGGAAAAUUAUUGUUUAAAGCUCACGGUGAUGAAGAAAUCUAACUCAAAAGUGAUAGUGAAAGCCAAUCUGAUGAACUAGAUGAAGCAGCAGCAGAAAAUGCUGAGUUGAAAGAUGAAAAAUUCUACCAGAGUGCUGUUUAAGUGCUUCGAAAAUCAAGAAAUGUAAAGCCUGUUUAAGGAAAAAGACAUUUGGACUGAAGCAACUACGAUGAGAGAUAGAUGCAGCCAGUGUUCCCGGGUAUUGGAGGACGAAGGUGUUGGUAAUUCCGACUUCGAACUUUGACCUGUGAAUGGCAGAGGCUGACUGGGGAGGGAUUUUGUAUGGAAGGCGAGGUGUUCUUAGUGUUUCCAGCGAACGAGCAAGUAACUAGCAGGGAUUACAAACUGAAGCAAAGAAAGAAAUGAAGUCGAGGAUUCUAAGCUCAAAGUUGAACUGUUUUUUGCCCAUUCUUUUUCUUUCUUUCUUUUUUAUUUUUAUUUUUUGGUAGGGAAUGAUCUGAUUGUUUUUGUUAUUUAAGUUGGGUUUUUAUGGUGAUCUAAUUCAAACUGAAUCUUCAUAUUGGAAUGUAUGGGGAUGAACGAUGUCCUAAUUUAGUUGGUAAUUUACUGUCUUAUUGGAUAAAUUGGUUUCAUUUGUUCAUAUUUUGUCUCCUUGUUAUAUUUAAAGUUAAAAAAUGCAAGAUCACUGUAUUCUUUUGAAUGUUUAGGAGGUCUAAUUUUGGGAAAAAGCUACUUCCAAUAAUUAGAUGGAAAUCCAACAAAAGAGUCAAUAUUAUUUUACAUUUAUGUGGAAUUAGAUAUGUUUAAAAAAUAUGGCCUUUACUAUAAUUCCUUAGAAUCCCUGUAUUAGAAGCUUCCCAAACCUUUUAAAAUUGAUGUUUACCUCCUGGACAGAGUCUAAGGUCCAGUUGUUUGUCAUGCUAUUAUAUCUUUUAUAACAUUAAACGAAGAUUAUGCUUCAAACAUGGUUGUGUUUAAAGAUUUGGUGAUGAAGACUAAUGGAUUCAUAAUAGCAGUUAGGAACAGUAGUCAAUGAUGGCUAACAUGAGUAUGUUAUUAAUUAAGUUUAAGCUCAUUACAUACUGUGGAGUUUUUAUUGCAUAUUCAUUGCAUAAUCAUAACGUUGGCCACUAUAUUUACUCCAUAAUAAGAGUUGAAAGAAUGUUUUCAUAGGGAAACAAAUCUUUCAACCCUUAAAUACACACACACACACACAUACUUGGACAUUUAAAUGUAGACUUAAAUUCUUGGCAUCCCAUAAUCAAAUUAUUUCCUAUCAAGUGCACUGCCGUUUAAAUCAUUGUUCAUGAUCUGACUUUAUUUUGCUUCAUUAUUUGCAGAUAUGUGUUAUAACAGGUACAUCAACUGGUUUUGAUCAGACAGUGCCAUGGAUGUUCUAUCAUAAAGUUAUUGGGGUAUCAAUCUUUUUCCUUUUUGUUGAAGGGAAGGCUGCAUCUCUUGCUAUCUCCAAAGUCCUUGAAUAUAUUCCUAUGAGUUUUUUUCCUGCAUGUACUCUUCAUCUAUUCUUUUGAUCAAGUAACUACUCUUUUUAAGGCUGAUAUAAUCACUUUGCAUUUGCAACACAAUCUACUUAAAUAUUAUGUCAUAAAAUACUUUCUUUACCUUAAAAGGAAAAGAAAAAUACACCUGCAAACUAUGUUGGUCUUCAAGGGAAUUGUAGAGAGGUGCAAAAUAGAAAGAUGUUUAGAUUGAUUUUUGGUCAACUAUAUAAACUAUGUUGUGAAAAAAAAUAUUUCACGUGUUGUUUCCUUGUGCAAUCAUUUACACUUAACGUCUAUCACUUAGUUUAAAUAAUAACAAAUGCCUCCUUGCAAGUGGAAAAUUGCAUUGCUAUCCCAUGAUCUUUUAUUGCAGCUAGAUCCCUGCGCCAUGUUAUUCUAUUUGCUGGUAUUAACUCAUUGAAAGUAUUUUAUGCACUAGAAAUAUUUCUUGAAACUUGACAAUAGGUUUUGAGUUAUGUGCACCUCGAAUGUAAAUGUAUUUAAUUAUAUAGGAGAUAGUUCUGCCUUUCUUUUUUUUUCUGAAGUCUGUUAAUGCAUUGUUGUAAAAUGAGUUUGUGCAUUUUUUUUAUUUUUUAUUUUUGUGACAAUAUUGUUAAUUAUUAUCUAGAUAAAUCCAAAGAAGGAAUAUUCAUUUGUUACUGAAAGAGUGCCUAUUUAGAGAUAAAAUACAAAUUGUGCAACAGCAAGUGAACCGAAAUUGUUACUUUUAAUAUUAUGUGAUACAUAAAUACAGAAUGCUCUCUCUUCACCUGAAGAAGUUUGAGUCUUAAUUAUCCUCCAUGAGUAACAAGCUAAAUUUUUCCACUCUUUUCACUUGUUAGAUUCUUAACACCGGUGUUAUGGACUGUGCUACAAUAGUUUGUCUUACUAAAUUGUUUAUGAUUUAAUGAUGUAGGUAUUCCUUAUAAUACUAAUCAUAAGAAUUGUUCUCCAAUUUAAACAUGCUACCAAUUGUUAUAUUAUAUUCUCUGAUCUACUAAGAGCUAUUUGCGAAUUUUUUACCUAUUUUUUGUUCACAAGUUAUAUAAACUCUUUCUAUCAUUGUCCUCUUUCCUGUUGAUUCUUCUGUUGAAUUGAUUUACUUCCUUGACUGUUGUUACGGAACCUUUUCAUAUGCCUUUGUAAGACCAAUUCCACGGUCAAUACUUAUUUGGUAAUUUUUCCAGGUUUUAGAAUUGCAAGCAACAAUGAUGGAGAUUAUGGAAGUUGCUGAUUUAUAAAAGCAGAAACAUAAUAAAACUCAAAUGAAAGCACUUGUGAGAUUGUCAAAACUUGAGAAUUGAGAAUGAAAAUAUCAGCUACGCGUCAAAAAUGGGACAACCUGGUGGCUUCAAAACGUGUCGAAUUUGAAAGGAAGAUGCUUAAGGCAAAGUAUUACUGUAACUAAUAAAGUGGAACAAGUAAAGGUGACAUACUUCCUUUUCUAUUGAACAUUAUUUGUAUAUUUGACGUUGUCCUGGAAGUAUACGAAUCUUUGUAGAACUAUCAUAUAUCUUGUUCAGUGUAUUACAAAUUUUAAUAUAGAAUGUGCUUCUUAA